UGGGGAAUUUUGGACAAUGGGCGAAAGCCUGAUCCAGCAAUGCCGCGUGUGUGAAGAAGGCCUUCGGGUUGUAAAGCACUUUUGUCCGGAAAGAAAUCCUUGGCUCUAAUACAGUCGGGGGAUGACGGUACCGGAAGAAUAAGCACCGGCUAACUACGUGCCAGCAGCCGCGGUAAUACGUAGGGUGCAAGCGUUAAUCGGAAUUACUGGGCGUAAAGCGUGCGCAGGCGGUUUGCUAAGACCGAUGUGAAAUCCCCGGGCUCAACCUGGGAACUGCAUUGGUGACUGGCAGGCUAGAGUAUGGCAGAGGGGGGUAGAAUUCCACGUGUAGCAGUGAAAUGCGUAGAGAUGUGGAGGAAUACCGAUGGCGAAGGCAGCCCCCUGGGGCCAAAUACUGACGCUCAUGCACGAAAAGCGUGGGGGAGCAAAACAGGAUUAGAUACCCUGGUAGUCCACGCCCUAAAACGAUGUCAACUAGUUGUUGGGGGAUUCAUUUCCUUAGUAACGUAGCUAACGCGUGAAGUUGACCGCCUGGGGAGUACGGUCGCAAGAUUAAAACUUAAAUGAAUUGACGGGGUCAUAGCUG
rnacentral:rRNA from 1 species